rnacentral:rRNA from 1 species
UACAGAGGGGGCAAGCGUUGUUCGGAAUUACUGGGCGUAAAGGGCGCGUAGGCGGCCUGUUAAGUCGAACGUGAAAUCCCCGGGCUCAACCCGGGAACUGCGUCCGAUACCGGCAGGCUUGAAUCCGGGAGAGGGAUGCGGAAUUCCAGGUGUAGCGGUGAAAUGCGUAGAUAUCUGGAGGAACACCGGUGGCGAAGGCGGCAUCCUGGACCGGUAUUGACGCUGAGGCGCGAAAGCCAGGGGAGCAAACGGG